rnacentral:lncRNA from 1 species
GUCGGGGGAGGGGUAUACGCAGUUUCCGUGCGGAAAGAUGGUGUCUUUCCUUCACAGGGCUGCGCGGGCACCCAUCCCCGCUGCAAAGCGCCCGGGCCAGGCGCGGCUUGCUCCGGGUCGGGGCGAGCUCGCUGCCCUCUGCGGCAGACAGCGAUGCGCGCUCCCCGCCCCAGCUCCCGGCUCGCCCGGCGGCCCGCGCGCCCUCCCGGUGCAGCAUGCGGGCGCUGUGACGUUCUCGGAUAAAUGCCGUGUAACUGUGUAGGCGAAUGAGAGCUAAAAAUAAGAACGGAAAAUCUAUCAUUAAGGUAGCUGGGGAAGCCGCCGGGAGUGCAGCCGGAUGCUGGAAUUCAAUGUGACCCGGCUGACUAUGCAAAGACUAGGACUGGACGCUUUUGCAGCUCUAUUUCGCC